rnacentral:misc_RNA from 1 species
AAAAGAUGUUUCAAACCUUGAAAAACGAUUUUCAAAUUUGCGAAGAAAUCGGCCGUGGGAGAUUCGGUACCGUCUACCGCUGCUUUUCUCCGGCGACCGGAGAAUUCUACGCCUGUAAAUCUAUCGAUAAAAACCUUCUCAUUGAUUCCACCGACCGUGAGUGUCUCGAUAAAGAACCCAAAAUUCUUCAACUUCUUUCAGGUAACCCCAACAUUCUUCAUCUUUAUAAGGUUUACGAAGAUGACGAUUUCCUUCAUAUGGUAACCGAUUUCUGCCCGAAUAGUGAUUUAUAUGAAAGGGUUUCAUCUGGGUCGUUGUCAGAAUCGGCUGCCGCGGCUAUUCUGACUCAGUUGGUUUCUGCGAUUAGCUAUUGUCAUCAUAUGGGUGUAGCUCAUCGUGAUAUUAAGCCGGAUAAUGUGUUGUUUGAUUCUGAGAAUAGAUUGAAGCUUGCUGAUUUUGGAUCUGCGGAGUGGUUUGCGGGUUGUGAAGGGAGGAUGAUGAGUGGGGUUGUGGGUACGCCGUAUUAUGUUGCGCCGGAGGUUCUAAUGGGGAAAGAGUAUAAUGAGAAAGUUGAUGUGUGGAGUGCGGGUGUUAUUUUGUAUAUUAUGCUUUCUGGGGUUCCUCCUUUUUACGGUGAAACGCCGACUGAAACUUUUCAAGCUGUUCUCAGAGGGAAUUUGAGGUUUCCGACGAGGAAUUUCCGGUCAGUUUCGCCUGAAGCGAAAGAUUUGUUGAGGAAGAUGAUAUGUAAAGAUGUUUCCAGAAGAUUUUCAGCUGAACAAGUAUUGAGACAUCCAUGGGUGCUUAAU